GACAGAGGGUGCAAACGUUGUUCGGAAUUACUGGGCGUAAAGCGUGUGUAGGCGGCUCCGCAAGUCGGAUGUGAAAGCCCCGGGCUCACCCGGGAAGUGCACUCGAUACUGCGGAGCUUGAGUAUCGGAGAGGUUGGUGGAAUUCUCGGUGUAGAGGUGAAAUUCGUAGAUAUCGAGAGGAACACCGGCGGCGAAGGCGGCCAACUGGACGAAUACUGACGCUGAGACACGAAAGCGUGGGGAGCAAACAGG
rnacentral:rRNA from 1 species